rnacentral:rRNA from 1 species
GACGAACGCUGGCGGCGUGCCUAAUACAUGCAAGUUGAGCGAUGAAGAUUGGUGCUUGCACCAAUUUGAAGAGCAGCGAACGGGUGAGUAACGCGUGGGGAAUCUGCCUUUGAGCGGGGGACAACAUUUGGAAACGAAUGCUAAUACCGCAUAACAACUUUAAACAUAAGUUUUAAGUUUGAAAGAUGCAAUUGCAUCACUCAAAGAUGAUCCCGCGUUGUAUUAGCUAGUUGGUGAGGUAAAGGCUCACCAAGGCGAUGAUACAUAGCCGACCUGAGAGGGUGAUCGGCCACAUUGGGACGGAGACACGGCCCAAACUCCUACGGGAGGCAGCAGUAGGGAAUCGUCGGCAAUGGACGAAAGUCUGACCGAGCAACGCCGCGUGAGUGAAGAAGGUUUUCGGAUCGGAAAACUCUGUUGGUAGAGAAGAACGUUGGUGAGAGUGGAAAGCUCAUCAAGUGACGGUAACUACCCAGAAAGGGACGGCUAACUACGUG